UUUCCGUAGGUGAACCUGCGGAAGGAUCAUUCAUAAUAAGUGUUUUAUGGCACUUUUUUAAAUCCAUAUCCACCUUGUGUGCAAUGUCAGGGUUGAUUUUCCACUCGAGAGGAUCAGCCCCACACAUCAACUAUAUCUCAACUCUUUGUCUGAAAAAUAUUAUGAAUAAAACAAAUCAAAAUACAACUUUCAACAACGGAUCUCUUGGCUCUC
rnacentral:misc_RNA from 1 species